AUAUAUAUGCGUCAUUCUUCCCUCUGUGAUUGUGGUGAUAACCACCUGUUGUUCACAGGUCAUCCUUUACUCCAGUGUGCGAUGGUCAACUGUGUUUGGGUAAUGCCUGUUAGUCUGGUGAAAUGUCAGGCUCAGCCCCGUCUAAUCUCAACCUCGUUCAUUUCACUUUUAAGUGCCUUUCUUUUGUUGUUGAAGUUGAACCAACCGUUUAGUUUGUCGUUUUCUGAGAUGUUACAUUAACUGUCGCUGCACCACCGUCCUCAUUUAAAGUCUCUGGUCCGUUCAACAACCCUUUGGUUACUCCAGUACUGCAGUGAUUUUAAUGGGGACCCUUACUGCAGUACUUAAGGUGAUUUUAAUGGGGACCCUUACUGCAUUACUUAAGGUGAUUUUAAUGGGGACCCUUACUGCAGUACUUAAGGUGAUUUUAAUGGGGACCCAUACUCCAGUACUUAAGGUGAUUUUAAUGGGGACCCUUACUGCAGUACUUAAGGUGAUUUUAAUGGGGACCCUUACUGCAUUACUUAAGGUGAUUUUAAUGGGGACCCUUACUGCAGUACUUAAGGUGAUUUUAAUGGGGACCCUUACUGCAUUACUUAAGGUGAUUUUAAUGGGGACCCUUACUCCAGUACUUAAGGUGAUUUUAAUGGGGACCCUUACUGCAUUACUUAAGGUGAUUUUAAUGGGGAACCUUACUCCAGUAAUUAAGGUAAUGUAGGGGGCAACCAUACUGCAGUAAUUAAGGUAAUGUACGGGGCAACCAUACUGCAGUAAUUAAG